GAUGAAAAAAAAAUAAUUUUCAUUUCAUUCACUUUGAUAAGUUGGAAUGUAGAGCAAAAUAAAAAUAAAUAAUCACAGUAACACGUUUUCAAUUUUCUGCAAAUAAAAGAAAAAUAAAAUAAAGUAAAACAAAGGCAAUGGAACAAAAAUCUCAAACACAUUUAAUACUUAUAUUGUCUGCUAAAAUCAUCAUUUAAACUUGUGAUUGUCACUUUAUUGUCUAUUUGUAAAAAAGAGGACUUGUUUGCAUAAGAAUCUUCUUCGCGGAUUGAUAUGCGAUGCGGUCCGAGCAUUUCUGGGCGUGGUUUGACUCGUUGCUGUGAACUGACUGUUCUGUUUACAUGUAGUAGGAAAUAAGAAAAACUAAAAAAAAAUAUUAUUUAACGGGGGCAUAUUCUCACGAUAGUAAAGUUUUUAAAGCUUUCGCUGGUUUAUUUUCUUCGGAGAAACUUGAUUCUGAAGGUUGCAGAACUGAAGAAGCUUCUUGGACGAGCAGCGAUCUAUUCUCGUCCAGUUGUGCUGAGGAACAGAACAUCGUGAUAAUAUAACUCAGAGAACCAAGAAUCUUCAAAUACGAUUUUAAAGUUGUAUUUUGCGAGUCACGUGACCGAUUCGCGUGCCUAUUUCUUUUCACGGAUCAUGUUUCUGACUUUUUUCACAGUUUUCUGUGUCCUCUUUGGUUCUUCCUGUGGUUUACGGGAAAAGGAAGUGUGCAAUGGGGGCAAUGUAGAAAUAGAUUUGUUUCCAUAUAAUUCUUAUCAAGGACCACUUUAUUUCUAUCCAAGAGAAGGAGGGGUAAGGAAAGUACUGAUGGAGAAUCGAGAAGCUAAGGAUCCACGGCUCGUAAUUAACACUAGCUCAGUAAAAUUGACAAAGUUGACUGAAAAAGACAAUGGAGAAUUUGCCAUUAUAAAGAAUUAUGGAGUAGUUUUCGACAUACUCUCACUGACCAUCAAUGAUUGUUCUACAGAAAUCUUGUUGUUUAACGGGGAGGAUUUGGCGCACGAUAUUCCUAGCAAUGCUGAAUUACUGGAGUUCACCUCCUCUCACGGCUCAGGCAAGCCUAAGGUUCAGUGGCAACGUAGAUAUCCUUAUAGCAAUUAUGGAGGACGGGGGACAGUGAGCGGAAACGUCUUUAGGAUUUCCGAUGUCACUUAUGAAGACGAUGGCGUCUACAACUUUAGGGACGAAGACAAAACUGUGGUGUUGCGACUACGACUCAUUGUAAAAGAACUUCAUAAUGCAGGAAUAUAUGUAAUUGUGGCUCUCGUGGCUGGCGUUGUGAUUUUCCUCUGCUGCUGCUGUUACUGUUGUAGAAAGUGCUGCUGUUCAAAGGAUAAGCCUCCUUCUGAGGUUGCUCAGACUGCAGCAGAACCUAAAGUGUUUUAUCAUGAUUUAACUCAGCCUGAAGGUUCAGGGUUUUCUGCUGCACCUCAUCCUGCAGCCUUCCCUCCUCCAGCAGGGAAUGUACAGCUCCCUCCUCCAUCAGGAAGUACAGCUUUCCCUCCUCCAACAGGGAAUGUAUCUUUCCCUACUCCAUCAGGAAGUGCAGCUUUCCCUCCUCCUGCAGGGAAUGCAUCUUUCCCUCCUGCGUCAGGAAGUGCAGCUUUCCCUCCUCCUGCAGGGAAUGCAUCUUUCCCUCCUGCGUCAGGAAGUGCAGCUUUCCCUCCUCCAGCGGGGAAUGUACCUUUCCCUACUCCAUCAGGAAGUGCAGCUUUCCCUUCUCCAGUAGGGAAUGUAUCUUUCCCUCCUCCAGCAGGGAGUGCAGCUUUCCCUUCUCCAGUAGGGAAUGCUGGGAUUCCUUAUGAUGCUGCAUCUGCUUCCUCUGGACCUGUGUCAUACCAACCAACAUAUGAGAUUAAGAAUAUUUCCCAACCUCAGGUCGCACCUGGAGCUUCAGAGAAAUCUGCUCCGUCUUCAUCUUUUGAUUACAACCCUCUGUCUUCAGACUAUCAGCCAACGUUUGAGGUGAAAGGACAAAGCUUCAACUUUAAUCUUCCUCUCAGUUCAGAAAAUUCGUUUGCAGAUGUUUAUAAUUCUGAUAAAAUGAACUUUUUGUAAAAAGGAGUUAUAGAGGUAUAAUCUGUGAAGGGUCAGUAUGACCAUAGACUCAGUGCUGAGGUUACUCUUAAACAAAAAAAAUUGUUUCAUUUGCACUGUGAUUUAAAAAAAAAAAAAACGAUAUGUAAAGUUGCAGUCAAAUGAUAACCAUCAGUGCACUGAUAUAUAUAUAUAUAUACACACACACACACAGUAUCUCACAAAAGUGAGUGCACCCCUUCAUUUACUGCAGAUAUUUAUACUGUAUCUUGUCAUGGGACAACACUGUCAAAAUUAAUUUUUGACACAAUGAAAAGUAGUCCAUGUCCAUCCAGUGUAAAGUUAUUUUUUCUUCAAAAUAAAUCAUAAUAUAGGCAUCAAUAGCCAAACCCCUGACACCAAAAGUGAGAGGUGUACUCAGUUCUGUGAGAUACUGUAAAUAUAUGAGUUACCCUUUAAAAAAAUGUUACCACUAUAGUUCCAGUAAUGCUGCAUAAUCUGAAACAAUUAUCUUGUAACAUAUAAAAACAUACAUUUAUCAGCAGUUAUUUAAUAUAGGCUAUGUCUGAAUUCCCACCCUAAUCACUAACAACUAAAAAGUUAUAUGGUGCAGAAUUAUAUAGUGCCCUAAAUUUUAACCCUUUAAUGGUAAUGUUCCAGUGUUUAUGUUCUUUGAUUUACUGUUAACUUCAACUUAAAAAUCAACAUAAUUCAAGCAAAUUAUUCAGAAUCUGCACGAAUUACGUUGAUCGUGCUAAUGGUUGAAAAGUUACAGUAUGUGAAAGGUUUUGUGUUUUAGCGUUAGCCUACGUGUCAUGUGCUAAAAGAGUUAAAAGCACCAUGCCUACUACUUUACUUUCGUUUUGCUACACUCCUGAUAUGACGUCACUCGUUUCACACAGUGAAAAUCAAAUCAAUACAAGCAUUUCAUGAUGCCCAUUUGUUACUCCACUGUGUUCUGAAAACAAAAAAAUGGAUGGUUUAUUAAAAAGUUACAUUUAAACAUGCUUUUUUCACAAAAGUUGUUCUCCAAUGCAUUGUGGUCUAUAUUUGCUAAUGUAGUGAGUAUCAAUGCACGCUGGGUUUUUGCAAAGAUUUCUGGGAAAUUUCUUUUUUUUUUUUUCCUGGGAAAUUUCUAGUGCAAUCGGUUUUGGAAGAGUAGAUUCGGGCAGUACUAGAAAAUGAACAAAGCACCUUAUAGUGCGCUACAUAGUGAGUAGGGGAGGAAUUCAGACAUAUCAUCAAUGUUUCUGCAUGCUUAAAUUGUACUUGCUUGUCUGUAAAUAGUUUUUUCUGCUUUCUGCUUAAGAAACCAAAGUAUAACAAACAACAAACUUCAAUCACUUCUUUGAACUGACCUAAGACUGUUACAAACAUCAUCUCAUGUCAAGAUGCAACUGUUUCUUUGUAUAUCAUGACUGUCAAUAUAUAUGCAGACCAAUGGGAGCAUGAUGUUCCACCUGAAUAAAAUUAAUCUAUAUUCACAGGAAAUGUCUCCAUCUUUAAGUGCAUUCAUAAAAUUAUGACCUUGAACUUCUUUGUUUGAGACAAUCUGAACUUUCUUGAACCUUUCAGCUACAGUUUCAAGACAGAUAACUAUUGCUUAAUUCCACAUAACCUGUAAGACAUCUCUUAACACCAUCAAGAGUCAAUGGACUUCAAUUUACUGGAACUAUAAAAGUGUUUUGUGUUUCUUCCACAUCUUUGUAUUUCCUGUCUUAUUUCAGAUUUCUCAUCAUUUGAAGGGGCUCUCUUUCUAAUGUUCUGAUCUAACUGGCUGCAGGAAAGUUUGUCUAUAUAAGGAAGUCUUGAAAAUGGUCUCAAGAGCCCGUCGCUGGUUCUUAUGUGAGCAAAUAAAUGAAUUUGCUAAGCCACAGAAGUUAAGAGUUGGCCGUUUUUCUUUGCUUUGCCUGAUUUCUUUUUACACAUGCUUGGUCCACUCGUAACACACAUAGAAUUUGUAACUUAUAGACAGAAAAUUUCUGGAAAACCUACAUUAAGUAAAUAUAGAACGCUCUGACAUUGAAGCAAAACCAACUUCUGUGUUAAGGAGUAUGGCUCUUUUUAUUCUACAGCAAUUCAACAUGUUUGGUCUUUGAGAUAGGUUUCUUCCCAAUUUACUUAAGUGAUAUUCAAAUUUCCUAAGAGACAAUUGUGAGGUCAUCUUCAGCUAUAAUCAACUUGAUCAAAUCUAAAAUAACUGCUGAUAAAUGUAUGUUUUUAUAUGUUAUAAAUGUAUGUUUUUAAUCAAUUUUUACCUUCUUUGAAAUGGAUUUGUUUGUAUUUUGUGUGAAAUUAUAAUGGUAUUAUUUAUUUUCUUAUUUUAUUUUUGAGGGGGCUAACAAGUUUAAUGCUUGGAAUGGUGUUCAAAAUGUUUGUAUAGUUUCUUGCAGAAAUCCUUUAUCUUAGGUAAUCUUUGCAAUAUUUUGUACGAUUUGUUGUCUCAUAAAUAAAAUACUCCAUUGUCUUUUGUUUUUUUUUUAAUAUAUGUUUUUAACAUAUAACAUGUAAAACACCGUAAAAAUAGUCCUACAUAAUUUACUUUUUUUAAUUGACAAUUUUUGCACAUAUACUGUAGAAUAUCAUAUAAUAUAUCUCACUCUGUCAAGUGCAAAUUGGAUUGAAUAAAACAGCAGAUUAUUUAACUUGUCAGGAGGUUGAAGACAAAAGCAAAUUUUGUAAAAUCCAUCUUGAUUAAC
ensembl:lncRNA